UACGAUACCUACUACUACUACUGUUGGUGUUUCUUCUCCAAAACCCCAUAAUACAUACUAAUUGUACGUACUUCUUGUCUCUUCUCUUCUCUCUUCUCUGAUCAAUCUCGCAAGAAUUUUGCGCUUAAUUAAAAUCAAUCAAAUCAAGCUCAAGCUCAUGUGAUGGGUGUGUCUCGAGCAGAAGACGACUACGAUUAUUUGUUCAAGAUUGUAUUGAUUGGCGAUUCCGGCGUCGGCAAAUCCAAUCUCCUCUCCAGAUUCACCCGCAACGAGUUCACCUUGGAGUCUAAAGCUACCAUCGGUGUUGAGUUCGCCACUCGCAGCAUCCGCGUCCAAAAUAAAGUCAUCAAGGCCCAGAUUUGGGACACCGCCGGUCAGGAGAGAUAUCGUGCAAUCACAAGUGCCUACUACCGAGGAGCUGUUGGAGCAUUGCUUGUCUAUGAUGUUACUCGCCGAGCUACAUUUGAAAAUGCUGAGAGAUGGUUGAAAGAACUGAAAGAGCAUACAGAUUCAAGCAUUGUUAUCAUGCUUGUUGGAAAUAAGGCUGACUUGCGCCACUUGCGCGCUGUAACAAUAGAAGAUGCAAAAGAGUUUUCAGAAAAGGAAAACACUUUCUUCAUGGAAACUUCUGCCCUGGAAUCGACGAAUGUGGAAAAUGCCUUUACAGAAGUGCUUUGUCAGAUACACAGUGCUAUCAGCAAGAAGGCUCUUGAGACUGGUGGUAAUCAGUCAUCUGUACCGAAGGGACAGACCAUUAAUAUUGGCUCUAAGGAUGAUGUCUCUGCCGUAAAGAAAGGCGGCUGCUGCUCUUCUUAAAAUAGAUUCACAAGAGAAAAGCAGUUUUAUCACUUCUCUAACAUGCCCUGAUAUUGCUUUUUUCUGUGAUGUUAGAUGAAUUUUUGCAUACACAAUGAUCACUUACAAAAGCUUAAUUUCUGGUAUAACAUGGAUAUUGUCUAGAUUCGACGGUAUUCCUGAUUGAAGGACUAGUUUUUUUGAAUCAACACUAUUCAUUAUUUUUCUCCUUGAGUUUCACUUCAUACUUUUUGUAUUAUUCUUAUCAUCAAACCACAGGAACUAAUUGCAGGAUGUGAUGUUUUUACUGCAUUGCAUACCAUUUUAGACAUGUAUUUGAAUUGUGAUCCUUACAUUUUAAGCUUUAUUGAUAUAUAUUUGUAAUUAUAUCUCUUGCACUUCAAAACUAUGUUGAUUCAUAUUUCCUUCCCUUGUUUUCAUUUCACAUGAUCAUUAGCCCUCAUCACUUUAUUGCCUCUAGUGCUUUCUGUUCAUCUCUUCAAAGACAAGAAGACAUUGUAGGAGAGGAAUAGUCGAUUUCUCUGGUUAUCUAAUCUAAUGUCCUGUGAGCACAACAUAUAUCGACUUGGUUUGCAUUCUGUGUGGUAAAAUGUUAUUUAUAGUGUUGACACCGGCACACAUUGAGUUUUGUUAUCAAAUGUCUUUCUUUCAGUCAUUCUUUCUACGUUGCUCUGCUAUUGUUGCAUUUUAUCCUGAUUUCGAAUUCUUCUUUUGUUUAUUCUUCGCACAGUUCGAGUUUCCUUCCAAGAUUUCCACAGAUGGAGAGGAACAUUGUACAAGCUCUGGUUCUGGUUGUCUUCUUCCGAGGUUGUCUGAUCAUCUGCCUCUUGUGUAUGAAUUGUGCAGGAAUACUGCAGCUUUGAUGAUCAUCCCCUGGAUCGAUCAUCGUCGAACAACCGUCCCGAGGAAAGUGUGAGCAGCAGAUUCUAAUUGAAGCAGAGGAAGAAGCCAUGGAUGGCCACUGUGAUCAAGAUGGUGAUGCAUCCUGAAUCUGCUGCCAUUGUAGGUGUGUAUAUUUAUCUGUAUAUAUAUAUAUAUAUAUAUUUAUGUAUGUAUGUAUGUAUGUAUGUGUAUAUUUGCAAUGGGGCCUGGAAAUUCAUUACGAAAAGUUGCUUGUUACAGUUAGG